UACAGAGGGUGCAAGCGUUGUUCGGAAUUAUUGGGCGUAAAGCGCGUGUAGGCGGCCUAGCAAGUUGGGUGUGAAAGCCCUCGGCUUAACCGAGGAAGUGCGCCCAAAACUACUAGGCUUGAGUACCGGAGAGGAUGGCGGAAUUCCCGGUGUAGAGGUGAAAUUCGUAGAUAUCGGGAGGAACACCAGUGGCGAAGGCGGCCAUCUGGACGGAUACUGACGCUGAGGAGCGAAAGCCAGGGGAGCAAACGGG
rnacentral:rRNA from 1 species